CCUACGGGAGGUAGCAGUGGGGAAUAUUGGACAAUGGGCGAAAGCCUGAUCCAGCCAUGCCGCGUGUGUGAAGAAGGCCUUCGGGUUGUAAAGCACUUUCAGUGGGGAAGAAAGCCUUGGGGCUAAUACCCUCGAGGAAGGACAUCACCCACAGAAGAAGCACCGGCUAACUCCGUGCCAGCAGCCGCGGUAAUACGGAGGGUGCGAGCGUUAAUCGGAAUUACUGGGCGUAAAGCGCGCGUAGGCGGUCUGAUAAGCCGGUUGUGAAAGCCCCGGGCUCAACCUGGGAACGGCAUCCGGAACUGUCAGGCUAGAGUGCAGGAGAGGAAGGUAGAAUUCCCGGUGUAGCGGUGAAAUGCGUAGAGAUCGGGAGGAAUACCAGUGGCGAAGGCGGCCUUCUGGACUGACACUGACGCUGAGGUGCGAAAGCGUGGGUAGCAAACAGGAUUAGAUACCCUGGUAGUC
rnacentral:rRNA from 1 species